rnacentral:rRNA from 1 species
AACGAACGCUGGCGGCAUGCCUAACACAUGCAAGUCGAACGAUCCCUUCGGGGAUAGUGGCGCACGGGUGCGUAACGCGUGGGAAUCUGCCCUUGGCUUCGGAAUAACAGUUAGAAAUGACUGCUAAUACCGGAUGAUGUCUUCGGACCAAAGAUUUAUCGGCCAGGGAUGAGCCCGCGUAGGAUUAGGUAGUUGGUGAGGUAAAGGCUCACCAAGCCGACGAUCCUUAGCUGGUCUGAGAGGAUGAUCAGCCACACUGGGACUGAGACACGGCCCAGACGCCUACGGGAGGCAGCAGUGGGGAAUAUUGGACAAUGGGCGCAAGCCUGAUCCAGCAAUGCCGCGUGAGUGAUGAAGGCCUUCGGGUCGUAAAGCUCUUUUACCCGGGAUGAUAAUGACAGUACCGGGAGAAUAAGCUCCGGCUAACUCCGUGCCAGCCGCCGCGGUAACAC